UACAGAGGGUGCAAGCGUUGUUCGGAAUUACUGGGCGUAAAGCGCACGUAGGCGGCUAUUCAAGUCGGGGGUGAAAGCCCGGGGCUCAACCCCGGAACUGCCCUCGAAACUAGAUAGCUAGAAUCUUGGAGAGGCGAGUGGAAUUCCGAGUGUAGAGGUGAAAUUCGUAGAUAUUCGGAAGAACACCAGUGGCGAAGGCGACUCGCUGGACAAGUAUUGACGCUGAGGUGCGAAAGCGUGGGGAGCAAACAGG
rnacentral:rRNA from 1 species